UUUUAUUUUGCUAUUUUAAGUGGUUAAUUGCUCAAACUGAUCAAAAUGACAAAUCAAAGAAACCAGAUGACCUAUUUUGUUGGGUAAUCUGUAUACCUCUUCAUUCAACUGAUGUAGUACUGCAAUUAUCCCUUCUUCCAGAGUAGAUUUCCUCAGAAGGAGAGUCCAUUUCUUCUCAUCUUCCAGAGUAGACUGAAGCAUUUAUGUCUCUCCUUGAUUUGGUGCGAUCAUUCCACUCAUCAGGGGCAAGCACAGUCAUGCAUUCUAUCAAGCCAACAUUAUCCAUCAUAAUCUGUUUGUAAAAUGUUCUCCAUGUUCCUUUCUGGUUUGAUGUUUAAUAAUGUACACUUUAUGAUCCAUCAUAAUCUGUUUGUAAAA